AUUGAACGCUGGCGGCAUGCUUUACACAUGCAAGUCGAACGGCAGCGCGGGCUUCGGCCUGGCGGCGAGUGGCGAACGGGUGAGUAAUACAUCGGAACGUGCCCAGUAGUGGGGGAUAGCUCGGCGAAAGCCGGAUUAAUACCGCAUACGACCUGAGGGUGAAAGCGGGGGAUCUUCGGACCUCGCGCUAUUGGAGCGGCCGAUGGCAGAUUAGCUAGUUGGUGGGGUAAAGGCCUACCAAGGCGACGAUCUGUAGCUGGUCUGAGAGGACGACCAGCCACACUGGGACUUAGACACGGCCCAGACUCCUACGGGAGGCAGCAGUGGGGAAUUUUGGACAAUGGGCGAAAGCCUGAUCCAGCAAUGCCGCGUGUGUGAUGAAGGCCUUCGGGUUGUAAAGCACUUUUGGCGGGAACGAAAAGGACUGUGCCAAUACCACGGUUCGAUGACGGUACCCGCAGAAUAAGCGCCGGCUAACUACGUG
rnacentral:rRNA from 1 species